CCUACGGGAGGCUGCAGUGGGGAAUAUUGCACAAUGGGGGAAACCCUGAUCCAGCGACGCCGCGUGAGUGAAGAAGUAUUUCGGUAUGUAAAGCUCUAUCAGCAGGGAAGAAAAUGACGGUACCUGAUUAAGAAGCCCCGGCUAACUACGUGCCAGCAGCCGCGGUAAUACGUAGGGGGCAAGCGUUAUCCGGAUUUACUGGGUGUAAAGGGGGCGUAGACGGCAGGACAAGUCAGGAGUGAAAUGCCGGGGCUUAACCCCGGAACUGCUUUGGAAACUGUGCAGCUAGAGUGCAGGAGAGGUAAGCGGAAUUCCCGGUGUAGCGGUGAAAUGCGUAGAGAUUAGGAGGAACACCAGUGGCGAAGGCGGCCUACUGGACUGUAACUGACGUUGAGGCACGAAAGCGUGGGGAGCAAACAGGAUUAGAUACCCUUGUAGUC
rnacentral:rRNA from 1 species